rnacentral:rRNA from 1 species
UACGUAGGCAGCAAACGUUGUUCGGAGUUACUGGGCGUAAAGAGCUCGUAGGCGGUUUGUCGCGUCGGCCGUGAAAACUUGGGGCUUAACUCCAAGCUUGCGGUCGAUACGGGCAGACUUGAGUUCGGCAGGGGAGACUGGAAUUCCUGGUGUAGCGGUGAAAUGCGCAGAUAUCAGGAGGAACACCGGUGGCGAAGGCGGGUCUCUGGGCCGAUACCGACGCUGAGGAGCGAAAGCGUGGGGAGCGAACAGG